rnacentral:miRNA from 1 species
GAUUGAGCCCUGCAUCGGCUCUCUGCUCAGCGGGGAGCCUGCUCACUUCUCUUUCUCUCUGCUUGCCUCUCUGCCU